ACACAUGCAAGUCGAGCGGGGAAUAUUGAACAGCUUGCUGCUUGGUAUUUCUAGCGGCGGACGGGUGAGUAACGCGUGAGCAACCUGCCUUUAUCAGGGGGAUAACGCAUCGAAAGAUGUGCUAAUACCGCGUAAGACCACAGCUUCACAUGGAGCAGGGGUCAAAGGAGCAAUCCGGAUAAAGAUGGGCUCGCGUCCGAUUAGCUAGUUGGUGAGAUAACAGCCCACCAAGGCGACGAUCGGUAGCCGACCUGAGAGGGUGAUCGGCCACAUUGGAACUGAGAAACGGUCCAGACUCCUACGGGAGGCAGCAGUGGGGAAUAUUGGGCAAUGGGCGAAAGCCUGACCCAGCAACGCCGCGUGAGGGAAGAAGGGUUUCGGCUCGUAAACCUCUGUCCUAUGGGACGAAGGAAGCGACGGUACCAUAGGAGGAAGCCCCGGCUAACUACGUGCCAGCAGCCGCGGUAAUACGUAGGGGGCGAGCGUUGUCCGGAAUGAUUGGGCGUAAAGGGCGCGUAGGCGGCCUGCUAAGUCUGGAGUGAAAGUCCUGCUUUCAAGGUGGGAAUUGCUUUGGAUACUGGUGGGCUGGAGUGCAGGAGAGGAAAGCGGAAUUACCGGUGUAGCGGUGAAAUGCGUAGAGAUCGGUAGGAACACCAGUGGCGAAGGCGGCUUUCUGGACUGAA
rnacentral:rRNA from 1 species